rnacentral:rRNA from 1 species
AGCGAACGCUGGCGGCAGGCCUAACACAUGCAAGUCGAACGAACUCUUCGGAGUUAGUGGCGGACGGGUGAGUAACACGUGGGAACGUGCCUUUAGGUUCGGCAUAACUCAGGGAAACUUGUGCUAAUACCGAAUGUGCCCUUCUGGGGAAAGAUUUAUCGCCUUUAGAGCGGCCCGCGUCUGAUUAGCUAGUUGGUGAGGUAAAGGCUCACCAAGGCGACGAUCAGUAGCUGGUCUGAGAGGAUGAUCAGCCACAUUGGGACUGAGACACGGCCCAAACUCCUACGGGAGGCAGCAGUGGGGAAUCUUGCGCAAUGGGCGAAAGCCUGACGCAGCCAUGCCGCGUGAAUGAUGAAGGUCUUAGGAUUGUAAAAUUCUUUCACCGGGGACGAUAAUGACGGUACCCGGAGAAGAAGCCCCGGCUAACUUCGUG